rnacentral:rRNA from 1 species
CCUACGGGGGGCUGCAGUGGGGAAUUUUGGACAAUGGGGGCAACCCUGAUCCAGCCAUGCCGCGUGCGGGAAGAAGGCCUUCGGGUUGUAAACCGCUUUUAGCCGGGAAGAAAAGGCAGGGGCUAACACUCUCUGUUCUUGACGGUACCGGCGGAAUAAGCACCGGCUAACUACGUGCCAGCAGCCGCGGUAAUACGUAGGGGACGAGCGUUAAUCGGAAUUACUGGGCGUAGAUCGUUAAGAGGCGGUUGAAAGCCCCGGGCUCAACCUGGGAAUGGCAUUGGAUACUGGCGGGCUUGAGUGUGGCAGAGGGGGGUGGAAUUCCGCGUGUAGCAGUGAAAGGCGUAGAGAUGCGGAGGAACACCGAUGGCGAAGGCAGCCCCCUGGGCUGACACUGACGCUCAGGCACGAAAGCGUGGGGAGCAAACAGGAUUAGAUACCCCAGUAGUC